rnacentral:rRNA from 1 species
GAUGAACGCUGGCGGCGUGCCUAAUACAUGCAAGUCGAGCGAACGGACGAGAAGCUUGCUUCUCUGAUGUUAGCGGCGGACGGGUGAGUAACACGUGGAUAACCUACCUAUAAGACUGGGAUAACUUCGGGAAACCGGAGCUAAUACCGGAUAAUAUUUUGAACCGCAUGGUUCAAAAGUGAAAGACGGUCUUGCUGUCACUUAUGGAUGGAUCCGCGCUGCAUUAGCUAGUUGGUAAGGUAACGGCUUACCAAGGCAACGAUGCAUAGCCGACCUGAGAGGGUGAUCGGCCACACUGGAACUGAGACACGGUCCAGACUCCUACGGGAGGCAGCAGUAGGGAAUCUUCCGCAAUGGGCGAAAGCCUGACGGAGCAACGCCGCGUGAGUGAUGAAGGUCUUCUGAUCGUAAAACUCUGUUAUUAGGGAAGAACAUAUGUGUAAGUAACUGUGCACAUCUUGACGGUACCUAAUCAGAAAGCCACGGCUAACUACGUG